rnacentral:rRNA from 1 species
ACAGCAGCAGCCGCGGUAAUACGGAGGGUGCAAGCGUUAAUCGGAAUUACUGGGCGUAAAGCGCACGCAGGCGGUCUGACAAGUCAGAUGUGAAAUCCCCGGGCUUAACCUGGGAACUGCAUUUGAAACUGUCAGGCUGGAGUCUUGUAGAGGGGGGUGGAAUUCCAGGUGUAGCGGUGAAAUGCGUAGAGAUCUGGAGGAAUACCGGUGGCGAAGGCGGCCCCCUGGACAAAGACUGACGCUCAGGUGCGAAAGCGUGGGGAGCAAACAGGAUUAGAUACCCCUGUAGUCCCUGUCUCUUAUAA